UGAAAUACCACCCUUGAAUAUUUGAAGUUCUAACUCAGGAGAGAUUCGAGGACAGUGUAUGGUGUGUAGUAUGACUGGGGCGGUCUCCUCCUAAAGAGUAACGGAGGAGUACGAAGGUGCACUCGGUACGGUCGGAAAUCGUGCCAAUAGUAUAAAGGCAAAAGUGAGCUUGACUGCGAGAGUGACGGCUCGAGCAGGUACGAAAGUAGGUCUUCGGGAUCCGGUGGUCCCGAGU
rnacentral:rRNA from 1 species